GGUGUCCUCGGGAGCCAGGAUGAAAACCAGCAUCGUGGACCCAAGAAGUGUGGCCAGAGGGGAGGAGAUGACUGCAGAAUGCCCAUUCUGCCAGGAUACAAGGAAGAUCCAGUCUUUGAAGCCAGCAGGAAGAAACUUGAAGCCACCUGUCUAUAGCAGUGUCUUGGCAGUCAGGAAUAAAUGGACAUACAUUCCAAGGUCAUGAGAAAGAAAUGCAAUUAGUAUGUAAAACAGCGGCUCUCCUGGAAAUGACUGCUUGGGGGGGGGCUGAGCUCAGAUGAGAAGAUUUACAACAGAGAAAAGCUGUGUGAAGCCAGUGGAUGUGCAGGAGCCACCAACGUGACAAAAAUCGCUAGGGCCCUAGAGGGCGACUGAGAAUUAGAAACAGGAUUUGAGCCCCAGGUGAUGUUCUGUCUUUGAAGGCGGAGUCUUUAAGCUCAGCAUCUUGUACAAGCUUUCCGCUCUCCCAAAUGCUCCCCAAUAUGUGUUUUCAAUUGGACUUUGAAACUAACACCCUAUGUUUUUGGAGAAAACUUAAGACAUUAUGAAACUCAAUAACAGCAUCAAAGGUGCUGAUCAUUCAGACAGUGUCACAGAGUUGGGGAUAUA
rnacentral:lncRNA from 1 species